rnacentral:tRNA from 1 species
UAGGGAUGACAGGAUUUGAACCUGCGACAUUUUGUACCCAAAACAAACGCGCUACCAAGC